rnacentral:sRNA from 1 species
CGCAGCCGCGGUAAUUCCAGCUCCAAUAGCGUAUAUUAAAGUUGUUGUGGUUAAAAAGCUCGUAGUUGAACCUUGGGCCUGGCUGGCCGGUCCGCCUCACCGCGUGUACUGGUCCGGCCGGGCCUUUCCCUCUGUGGAACCCCAUGCCCUUCACUGGGUGUGGCGGGGAAACAGGACUUUUACUGUGAAAAAAUUAGAGUGCUCCAGGCAGGCCUAUGCUCGAAUACAUUAGCAUGGAAUAAUAGAAUAGGACGUGUGGUUCUAUUUUGUUGGUUUCUAGGACCGCCGUAAUGAUUAAUAGGGACAGUCGGGGGCAUCAGUAUUCAAUUGUCAGAGGUGAAAUUCUUGGAUUUAUUGAAGACUAACUACUGCGAAAGCAUUUGCCAAGGAUGUCUUCAUUAAUCAGGAACGAAAGUUAGGGGAUCGAAGACGAUCAGAUACCGUCGUAGUCUUAACCAUAAACUAUGCCGACUAGGGA